GCCUGGGUGGCUCAGUAGGUUAAGCUUCUGACUUUGGUUCAGAUCAUAAGCUCAGGGUUCUGGGAUCAAGUCCCACAUCGGGCU
rnacentral:tRNA from 1 species